CAUUCAAUUCAAAGGAACCACGUACAGGAUGGUUAAAGGAAUUUUCAUUGGUGUUGCACGGUACAAAGGAUCCACCAUAUAGAAUGCUGUCUCCAACUUCACCACAUUCGAAAUUGGCUAUUGUUAAAAAGGCUCAUGAGGACCAGGACAAAAUGUAAAGCUUCGUUGCGCGUGCAUAAAAUGGUUUGAACUUUUCAUGUUUCAAUCAAGCUAGGAAUUGUACUGGUGUUGCGUUGUAAGUAGAACGGGUGAUCUUUUCUGAUCAGGAUUGUAAAGAACAUGUAAAGUUGAAACCUUUUCCCAAACAAGCAAAAUGAUCAACAAUUAUAUCAAUUGUUAUUUGAAAGUUUGAAGUUUAUUGUUUCGACAUUUUUUUAUGUGGGGGAGAGUAGUCUACAAUAAGACGCUUUUUUAACGAUUAGAAAAGGUGGAAAUAAAAAAAACAUGUAUCUUACAUGAAAAAUUCAGUAGGAUUUCUGGUUACUCAAAUAUAAAAAAUAAUAUGGAAAUUGGGCACAAUGCUAGUAAGUUAUGAUUUUAAAUACACAACUGGGAUUUUGUCUUAUGUCAGAGUCACAUAAGUGUUUAGAUUCAGUACGACUCACUAUGAAGUCACACAAUAUUUCAAAUCUUGAAUAAGCAUGACAUUUAUUGAGAGUUGACCUAUUCUAAUUUCCAGAAUAUUUGUUUUUCAUUUUACUUCUUUUCAACAUUAUAUCAAUACAUUAUGAAGCAUAUUUUUUGGAACUUUAACUUUUAUGAAUAGGGUUGAUGGUUUAGUAAUAGUGGAGAUCCUAAAGUUGCCAUAUGAAUUUGUUUCAUUGGAGAAAACCAUUAAUUGCAGAAUUGGUAGAUUUACAUCAUUAUGUUAAUUUUUUGAAUUUAUAAGCGUUAAAAAUAUGGGAAAAUAUAAAUUUUCCAUAUCACUGUUAUGGGAGUGUUUCUGUAAUUCGCCAAUGCACUCGAUAAUAAUAUUUACAUUUUUCGAUAAUAAAUCACAGGUAGUCAUGACGCAGUAGGUCUAUUUUUCAUCCGCGACAUUUUCGAUACUGAAAUGUCAUGAUUAUCUGAUAUUUCCGGACUGAUUUGAGAUUUGCGCGUAACUGUUUUUUUAAACAAUUACGUCAAUCACCAAUUUCUCGCGAAUAAAAGCUCAAUCUAGCAAACUAGCAAUCAGAUAGGGGAGUGAUUUGUUUAGCAGUAGGUAUAGUUUGUUUGCGAAAUAUUGUUUACAGAAACCCAAAUCUUAAAUCAGUAAUGAUUUUUCAAAUCAUGUAAAUCACCAUGCAGCGAAGAGUAGUAUAAUAUCAAUGAAAAACCAAUGAGUUCUUCAACUAUGUGAAGCAGACCUAGCAACUAUCGCAACGAAAGGAACUUGGUUCUUAUUAAUUGUGGACGAGCUUUCCAAUAAUAAUGAUGUAAUAAUAUUCAAAUAAAAUAGAGGAAUGCAGUGAACUUAAAUCAGAGUCAUUUAUCAAUUUAAAAUAAUAAUAGUUCAUAUUUCCACUAUUACUGACUCCCUGUAAUUCAUCAAUGAUUUUUGCUAGUUCGUCUAUUAGUUACGAGUGGUUCGGCUCAUAUUUUUGAAAGGGACACCUAAAUCCUAUGAUCCAUUAAAGCAUCACACAAAUGAAUAAAAUUCAGACAUCUUCAGACAGAUACUCAAGCAGGGUUCAAAGUAGCUCUUAAUAUCAAAUCGGAGCAUAAUUAUUUUUAUUCAAUGGUGUUACAAUUAAGUUUCCAGCUGCCUUUACUGUCAUUAUACGCAUAACUGUCCUAUGUUCUUUGGAAUCCUUAUGCACCGUGGGACUCUUAUACAUAUAACGGCAGUUUAGCUGUGCCUAAAACUCAAAUGUCUCAUUGUUCUUUUCGUCUUAUUCCUGACGACCUUUCGUUACCGAACCAUGGUGUAGGACUUUUUAUCUUUUUACACCCGAACCUUGGCUUGAUGGCGCUAUAUUCCCUGUUUAUUAUUGUAAUUAUUUCCUUUCCAUUGUAGCACAGGUGAUUAAAGCCUUUUUCUAUAUAGUAGCGAAGAAAACAUAUCAAGAUGACUGGCAAACCAUCCGUUAUCUCAUACGACCACUAUAAGACAUCUACAUUACCGUUCCAAGGUAACUGCAUCGAACGAAUAUGAUAGCAUAGAUUUCAACUGCAUAAGAGAGGUUUGCGUAUCUGCUUACUUUUCUAUGCAUUGCUUCCAGUUUUGAUUAAGCCUAGUGCUAUUGUAUCUGUCCUUUGGAUACUGGCAAGGUUUCCAGUCAUCUUGAAUGUGAUUUUGUCAAUAGCAUUGUGAAACUCCAUGCGAUUUUUGUGAAGCAUUCAUUACAUAGUCUAUAUGCUUAGUAUAUUUCUUCUAUGGCUGGGCAGAGCAGAAAAUGUAAAUUAAAAUUUGAUUCCAUAUUUCCCACCUCAUUGGACUUCGAAUUUUCCAAUGUGUGGCUGAAAAUAAAACAAGCAGAUGAAAUGAUGAGAUUCUGUCAAAACCUAUUGUUCUUGUGGUUGAUUCUGAAUCGGUACCACAAUAUUUUUUUUAAUUUUAGUAUCGUAUUUGUACUAAUACAACAAAAAAAAACUAUGAAAUGCAGUAUUAGUUUAAGUUCCAUGGCCUGAAAUUAGCCUAAAUACCAGUUUUAUUAUUUCUGGUGCAUGCUACAUGUCUUUUAGCCAGUGGAGUAUAUGAAGUAUAGAAGUUUCUUAAUUCUAAUGUUUAAGUGUAGUAAAAUUAGUGGUAAAAUCGCUCCACAAAAUGUGUCAGGAUGUGAUCCAUUUUGGCAAAAUGAUAGCUAAAUCUAUUGUCUAACUGUCAGAUUUGCUGAAACUGAUGAAGUCCUGAUGCAUUGUGCGUGGCUCUAAAGUAUAAGUGCGAUAAAACCUUGUAUAUCCGAUCGUUUUACCGCACAUAUAUUUAGAGAGACUCAUUUUACAACACUCAUGUAUUUCGCGAAGCUUUUAGAUAUAUGUAUGGUGCCCUCGCACCACCAACCCGAAGUCGCGAGUGACCUGCGAUGCGAAGUUGCAAAUGCUUCGAUGUUAAGGCCGGCGCACAAUAGAUUCGUUUUCAGGUUUUUUGACAGUUAGCCCAUUAUCUGUCAAAAAACCCGAAAACGUAUGCAUUGUGCGCCGGCCUUUACGCAAUAGGCAAUUAAAACUUGACCUCCAGCGGCCAUCUUGAAAAACGGCUUGAUGAUGCAGAUUUUAAAAUUUUACACGACUAAGUAUGUGAGAGAAGUUUUAAAUCGCUUAUAUUUUUCGAAUGAAACACCUUAAAUUCACUUAAGUGUUACUGUGGGGGAUAAAAAGUCUGAAACUACUUUUUGAACCAUUUCCAUCAAAUAUAUUAUUUAAAUUUAGAAUAUUUAAUAUAAUACGUCUAUUGAGUAGCCCUUGAGGCUUUAUCACUCAUAGAAUCAUCGAAAGAAAAAUAAUAGCUUUAUUUGAGAAAUAGACAAAUAUUUUAAUUUUAAUCCCAUACCUCACCAUGCAAAAUGUUGAAACCUGCAUCAUCAAGCCUUUUUGCAAGAUGGUCUAAAAAUUCAAUGUUUUGCACUCGACAGUUCGAACUUCAAUCGUCGAUGUCCCCCCUAAACGACAACUCAAUCACGCAAACCAACAACACCAUAGCAAAAAAGAAUGCUAAGAAAAAAACAUUCUAUUUUAGUGUCGUCUUUCACGGUCCCUUUCAUCCAAUGAAUACGCAAGGUGUUUUUGUGCAUAUGCUGCCCCCUCGGUAGAGUUAAAAUUUUGUCACACCAAAAAUCAGAGAUGUCCCAUUUUGUAAUUACUCGAUUAAUACCUAGCUUAAGUGAAGUAAAACUGUACUAAACCGUUGCCAAGCUAGACUAACGACAUACAUACUGUCGCCUAAAAAAAAAAGAUCACAACGAUUGAACGCUAGCAUGCAUUUUUUAUAUCAGUAUAUUUCAAAUAUACUACACAUAUAUAACCUUCAACUUAGCAUACAUAAAUUCAAAUCUCUCUCCUUUAACUUAAUUACCACUCAAAUUUGUCACGAAUAUGACUGAAAAACAGUUGGCACACACGUUUUAGUUCCAGAACUUAUGGAGUCCCGGGUAUGCGUUUAAGCCCUGAUAUUGAACGGAUUUUCCAAGCAUGGUUUCUUUGAACCUCUAUACUGUUACUUUUCAUUCACUCGAAGAGAUUUCAGACUUUAAAAGAUAACACAUGAAUUUAUACAGAUUAAUGAACUCCUCCAUUUUCACGUCAAUGGCCACUUGAAAUCGAAAAGAAUUAAAUUUUCUAAUCCUACUAUCAAUACAAGCUGACACACAAUGCACACUUCAAAACCAACAACAAAUAUUAAUUUUACCCAUUAAAAAUUGCAUGUAAAAUUGGGGGCAGUUACUCUGAAUCACCCUGUGAAAUCUAUUGGUAUAUAUUUUAAAUUCUACUAAAUACUAAGUGCCAAAGUGGGAAAUGGCUACGGAAAAUUAAUUUACCGAACUGUUCUGCAAUUCAAAAAUAACUGGGUAGUUGCCCAUGUCAAGUUAGUGUGUAAGGUUCUCUAUAAAUUCAAAGAGAAUUAUUGUCACAAAAGUACUACCGAUGCGUUACGGGUUUUGUCUUAAUAGGCAAUACUUCAGAACUUUACACUUGCUCAUAACAUUCACAGUUUUUCAGUUGUUAAUUAGGUGAUUCGUACUGCUUCUGACAACACUCACCACCAGAGGGUUAGCCGACUUCGAUCGUGUGGGCUGGUGGAAUUCACUUUUAAUUGAAUAUAUCGAUAAUGGUGCACUAUGUCCGUUAUAUUAUCUCUACAUGAUGUCGCUAUUACUACAAAUAACAAAAUAUAGAAAUUUGCUCAUCGAAAGAAGAAAAAUCGUAGAUUUUCUGAAAAUUUCCAAAAUUUCAAAACUGUUUUAUUCACCACUGGCAGGGUGACAUCUAUCGAUUUUGACGGUGGAAAGUAGUAUUCAAUUGAUUGCUCUCAAACCUGUACCAUUUGGUAUUUUCUGUAAAUGAUUCUUCAUGCGAUGCGACGCGAUGUCUCGAUCGGACCGAAAUUUUCUCCAGCAUUGUUUUACUUUGUAGCCGCGCCAUUACUGACCAAGCUAAGGGAGAACCUUCAUCUGAUCCCUAAAAUUACUGUGGAAAUUAACAUUGUAGAACUACGCGAACUGCGUUUCAACCCCAUUACUCCCAUCAAUCAGAGUAGAGAAACUGUAGACAUUUCGUAGCCCCCUCACUCCACAUGAGUCUACAAGUAUAGUUUAUACACAGACCACAAUCGUAACUGUAUUUGCAUUUAUUUUCAAGUCAUUAUGUUUCCAGAUAAGCUGUUCAAGAGUUAUGAACAAGCAUGGAUUUGAAUAAAUAGUAUAAGUAUUCGAGAUCCUUUGGUACGAUUUAUGCGGUAAACUAUUUUGAAAUAAACUUCCGCAAAUAUUUGGAAACCUAUGCAUAUUUGGCUGUUAUUUCUUACUUUAUUUGAUUUACAGAAAUUUUUGAUAAUCCAACUAUAAGUUAACAGGAGUGUAUUGUAAGCAGUACAGUGAAGUUUCGUUGGUUAAUCUAACUACGUCAACAUUAUUCAUGGCUAAUGUUUUUUUUGUAAUUAGAUUUGACAUUUGCUUCUUCUUAGUUGAACUGUAGACCAAUCUAAAAUUGCCCUACCAGCGAGAUUUUGAAUAUACUUGAGCAGUUUCCAGGACUAGAGUAAGAGAGAUCUUUAUAUAUUUUUUAAUAAGCCCCAGUGACAUAUCUAGGGUCUUUUGAACUUAGUUGAGCUCCUUAUUAAAAUUUGGUUAAUAUUCAUGCACAGAAGCAACUAGUAUUAAAUCGCUCAAACAUGAUUCCAACGUUAGAAAUUCUCAAUCCACAAAAGAAGAUGAAAUAAAAACAUAUUAUAACCCACAUGAAGUAAAAGGGCUUGUAAACAACAUAACGUAAGAUACCUUUCUAAACCAUUUGUGUUUUUGGGGGGCCAAACAUUUGUUAGAUAUUUCAUUAUUUUCAGUUAUUUUUUAUCAAAUUAAUAUAUGAAAAGCAGAUGUUAUAUUGCAUACACGAAAUACACUGUUUUUACCUAAACAAAACAAA